GACGAACGCUGGCGGCGUGCCUAACACAUGCAAGUCGAACGGAGUUUCCAGCAAUGGAUUCUUAGUGGCGAACGGGUGAGUAACGCGUAGACAACCUACCUUCUAGAUGGGGACAACACUGCGAAAGUGGUGCUAAUACCGAAUGUUCCCGAGAGGGGAAAGAUUUAUCGCCAGAAGAGGGGCCCGCGUCCGAUUAGGUAGUUGGUAGGGUAAUGGCCUACCAAGCCGACGAUCGGUAGCUGGUCUGAGAGGAUGAUCAGCCACACUGGGACUGAGAUACGGCCCAGACUCCUACGGGAGGCUG
rnacentral:rRNA from 1 species